GGGGCCGACAUGGAUUCGACAGCGGCUUCGUGAUGUGUGUAAGCAUGCCGGGUGUGUGGUGCGACCCGUAUCCCAGUGCCACAAUGCUGUAACAGGCAACAACGACUACGCUCUCGCAGCUUAAUAGCCCAAGGCUAUUCGGCUUAAUUCGCGCGAAUAACAGUACCGCGAACGAGUACCUCUCGGGGAGGCCCGUCAACCUCCUUCCCGGCUUCGAGGUGUCAUCAUGGAAGACUGGCCUGUGCGGUGGUCCGAAGCACAGGUAAGACACUGGACCUAAGUCGACACUGGGGUGCCCUUCCCCAGGUGCCGGUCGAAAACCAAUGAAGAGGCUACGCAUGUAGAAAGCCCAUGUUGCGGUCGUUUGGACGAGGGUUCGAUCCCCUCCGGCUCCACCU
rnacentral:tmRNA from 1 species